ensembl:lincRNA
CCAGUGGCAUAGUAUAAUACUAUAACAAAUACUUUACAACAAAUAAAACUGACACGCUGAGGGUCUCUCAGAGCCAUGGGAACAGCCUCACAAAAAACAUUGAGGGAAAAAGGCAGAUUAUUAAGCUGUUCAUACAGUAUGAUGACAUUUUGGUUUCAAACUAUUGAUAUAAACCCAGAGGGAAAAAUAAAGCACAAACAUCACAAUGUUAAUAGUGAUCACAAUAGUGAAAUAACACAAAAUUAAUGAUCUGAAACCUAAAGUUGGCCAUCGGGGAGUUUAUAAGAAGGAGCAUGAAGAGUAAGCUGAAAGAUGUUAUUUUAUAUAAUACAGAAAAAACAGGCAAGGACUGCUUUCCAAAACCACAAGAGCAGCAAGUGGGAAUAAGUAAUAACUGGUUAUAGGAAGGUUGUUUUAUUGAGCAAGCGGACCCAUGACUUGUGAAAUCAUUUUAUGGGGCAUAGUGCCAACUUAUCCCUUUAUUUUCUUUGGUUUUCACUGUCACUUAUCCAAAUCUCAGGCUGCAGGCUGGCUGGGCAUAGUGGAGGGAGAGAAACAGAGGCAAAGUGACUAUUUAAACAUGCAAACCCUGCAGGAGUUGCAAGAAAUGGUGUGCUGCCUACUGCUGUUCUUUGGAGGAGCAUGGACUACAUACAUCACUUGCCCUUUGUCUACCCCCCUACACUAGUCAGGAUUCUCCAGAGAAACAGAGCCAACAAAAAAGAGAUUUAUGACAAGGAAUUGGCUCAUGCCAUUAUGGAGACUGGCAAGUCCAAAAUCUGCAUGGUGGUCAGCAGCCAGGAGACCUAAGGAAGAACCAAUGCUGCCGUUCAAGUCCAAAGGCCAUCUGUUGGCAGACUCCCUUCUUCAUCUGGGAAGUUCAGUUUUUUGUUCUAGUCUGUCCUUCAGCUGAUUAGAUGAGGCCCACCCACAAUAUGGAGGGUAACCUGUUUACCAGAAGUUCACCAUUGAAGUGUUAAUCUCAUUCAAAAACCACCCUCAUAGAAACAACCAGUAUGUCUGAGCACACUGACCCUGCCAAACUGGCCCAUAAAAUUAACCAUCAAAACCCAUUUCUCUCCUUUUCCCACGGUAUCCCACAAAAGAGUCUAGAAAAGUGAGAGGGAGUUUAACACUAGCCUGAAAGAAUUACCUGGUGAAAAUGCUCUGGUUUUCACUCUAGAUGGGAGAGUCCAUAUGCAUUUAAGUAGAGCUUCUUGUUCUGAACAAGAAGUCCUGGGGGGUGUAAGAACAUGCGUAAUUAAAUGUGGGGGCUAUAAAAAUAGAAUAUUGAUGUACGUUCUAGAGACUUAAAAAGUGGUUUUGACUCUGACCCUGGGGAAUUCCCAGCAGCCUGCUUUGAUAGUCCCAGACCUGCCACUGAUGGCAGGAAAUUGAGCAAAAUUAAAAGUCUAUAAACAUACAUGACAGGCUUUCUUGGAAAAGCUAGUCCAUUUCCAGGACAGCUUUCCAAAGGAAAGAACAGAGAACAGAAAAUUGGACACUGGGUCAUCACAGAUCCCCAGUGAUCCUGGUAAUGGGAAAGAAACACAAGUGUAGCCUGCCCAUGAGGGUCAAAUAGCACAGAAAUACCACUGGAAGGGACCCUCCAAGAACACAGGGGACGAAUGCAGAAGGGAAGCAAAUCCUAUGCCCAUAAGAAGAAUAAGUCUGACAAGAUUUCCACACAGAUAUACCUCCAAACUGCGGAGGCCAAUGGAACAGAAGCAAGGGAAAGCACAAAGCGCUGCAGGCGGAGGCCAAUGGAACAGAAGCAAGGGAAAGUGCACUGCAAUUCGGACAUCCAUCCAUGCUCUGCAAAGUUGUCAUAGGAUUCUGAAACUUGAUUUCUAGACCCAAAAUCAACA